GUGCCAGGCACAAAUGUGGGAAUAUAAUAAUGCUCAUUUGCAUUGAUAGAGGGAAUUUCCUCCAUGGUAGAUCCAUACACCAAUAAAACCAUAUUUUCUCCUUCAUAAUAUUUAAAAAAAGUAAAUUCAAUAAACAGUACUAAAGUAUGGAGACGUGGUUCUGAGAAGACAGAAGAUGGAAGAAGAUGUAGGUGGACCUUGAACUAUGAGGAAACUGAUGUAAGCAGGAUUAAGUGACUUACCCAGGAUCACAUGGACAGUACAUUCAGUUGGACUCCAUGCAAACCUUCCCUCAUAAUGAAAGAUGAUGUUGUGAUUAAUAUACAAAAAGCAGUCAAAGAAAAGCUGGAGGGAAACUGUUGCAUAUGCAUAACUCAGUGUCUUAGACAUAAUUUCAAUUGUGUUGAGUGUUGAAAAGUGGAAAGAUCUUGUUAACAUAUCUUUCAGAAAGCUGUAUGGAAAGAGACAAAGACACUUAAAGAGAGAGCCUGCAUUUAUCAUGGAAUUUGCUCAUGGAAACUUAGAGGCAAACACCUGUCCAUUUUCCAAUUACUUCUGCCUUAGGGGAGGUUGCAGGGAACAUCUUAUUUUUUACAUGUCUUUAGAAAAUGGAUAAUCUGAAAAAUAAUCUUUUUCCUCAACAUAGCUUGGGGUCUUCAUAGUUAUUGUAAUAUUUCAAUGAAGUAAUAAAAGGAAGGAAAUGAACA
rnacentral:lncRNA from 1 species